CAGGCUCUUAACCCGCUGUGCCCCAGCAGGAACUCCAGUGAUGCCUAUUUUUAUCAUUUUCCUUCCCAUCGACAAAGGCAGGGAUCUCUUAACACCUGGCACAGUGGCUUUGCGCAUAGGAGGCGCUCAAUAAAUACGUCUCGAAUGAAUGGGUCGAUCACAUGGUGAGAUUCCUAACUGGAACAGAAAGCCAGGAGCUGACGAUAAACCCCAAAUCAAAAGCAGAGACUGCAGACAUGCAGGAAGGAGCUUGUUCAGCUACGCCUGUGCGGUUCUGGAAACCCACGAAAUUAUUUUCACACUUUUUCCAAGGAGGAAGUCCUAUGGCUUUCACCAGGGUCAUGCCCCCAAGGGAAAAAAUAUGUUUCAGCUUUCAAGAAGCCCUUUUUCACCAUUUGGCUUUUCCAUAUGAAG
rnacentral:lncRNA from 9 species